AGGGUUUGUCCUGGGCUCAGGACGAACGCUGGCGGCGUGCCUAAUACAUGCAAGUCGAGCGAGUCUGCCUUGAAGAUCGGAGUGCUUGCACUCUGUGAAACAAGAUACAGGCUAGCGGCGGACGGGUGAGUAACACGUGGGUAACCUGCCCAAGAGAUCGGGAUAACACCUGGAAACAGAUGCUAAUACCGGAUAACAACAGAUGAUGCCUAUCAACUGUUUAAAAGAUGGUUCUGCUAUCACUCUUGGAUGGACCUGCGGUGCAUUAGCUAGUUGGUAGGGUAACGGCCUACCAAGGCGAUGAUGCAUAGCCGAGUUGAGAGACUGAUCGGCCACAUUGGGACUGAGACACGGCCCAAACUCCUACGGGAGGCAGCAGUAGGGAAUCUUCCACAAUGGACGCAAGUCUGAUGGAGCAACGCCGCGUGAGUGAAGAAGGGUUUCGGCUCGUAAAGCUCUGUUGUUGGUGAAGAAGGACAGGGGUAGUAACUGACCUUUGUUUGACGGUAAUCAAUUAGAAAGUCACGGCUAACUACGUGCCAGCAGCCGCGGUAAUACGUAGGUGGCAAGCGUUGUCCGGAUUUAUUGGGCGUAAAGCGAGUGCAGGCGGCUCGAUAAGUCUGAUGUGAAAGCCUUCGGCUCAACCGGGAGAAUUGCAUCANAAACUGUCGAGCUUGA
rnacentral:rRNA from 1 species